GCAUAUCUUUAAAAGCAAAAACAACGAUUUAAAUGUUUUUCGAGGUCGAGGGCCAUGCGUCCUCCGAAACACAACCCAACCCAACCACAACCCAACUGCUUGUUGACACAAUGCCCAUCCAACCCAGAAGCCAGCCGCACCAAUGUGUCAGAGGAAACACCGUACACCUGGCGACCUGGUCAGCGUGCACUGCGCCCGCCACAGGAGUCGCUAGUGCGCACUGAGACAAAUCUCUGCUGGCCAAACCCUCCCCUAACCCGGACGACACUGGGCCAAUUGUGCGCCGCCACAUGGGCCUCCGGGCUCUGUCUCAGCCGGCCGCGACCGGGUGGACACUAC
rnacentral:lncRNA from 1 species